AAACAAAACUAACCUAACACUAUUUGAAACUGUCAAUACAUUAGUUAUGUUUGAAAGAAUAGUUGCUUAGUAAGAUCUUGUGCAUAAGGCAAUGUUCCUGCUGUAUUUUGUAAUAUGCUGUUCAAAAAUCCAAUGGUGUAAUUUUACACCUGCUCGCAAGCCAAGGGCUAUAGUACGACCAAAUUUCACAAUUUUUUAUCAUUGCAUUGGUAAAGAAAAUUCAAAUGACCAAAUACGAUACUUUGCCAAACUCUCUUAUCUUGCUUCGUUCUUGAGAUAUUUGACAAUGUUUCAUAUGCAAAUUAUCCUCACUAUAUGCUGUCAAGAUCUUCGGAUAUCUUGCAUCGAAAUCAUAAGACCGCACAUAAUGUGUUAUAUCAACAUAUACUGCAAGUAUAUGUUAUAUGGCGACACAUUUGAGUCAAUUAUCUAUGCGAGACAUGCGAAUUAUAAAAGUUUUCUCAGAAAGCCAUUUUGCAAUUUGACCUCACAAUGAGGAUAAUUUGCAUAUCAAGAAAGAAACAGGCUAAGAUAGUUUGGCAAAUUAUCUUAAUAGUCAUUUUCAAUUUUCUUUACAAUGCAAUCAUAAAAAUAGACAGUGUAAAAUGUUUGUUGCAAAAGCACAUUAACCAAGCGAGUUUUAUAGUUAACUACUAUUUGACUACAAAAUAGUAUAGUUGAAAAGAGGUUGAGGAGGCAGGGUCUAGAUUAAGUCAUCAUAACUGUGGAGAUCUUACUAAAUUUCGUGAAUCUUUCAAACUAUAGUAAUGGCAAAGCUGUAAUUAAGAAUAUUUGCAGACCCUAUUUAAUGCAUGGUGGUUAAUUUUAACUUAUUGCUGUUAAACUAUCUGUUUUUCUAUUUGCUAGACAUUAAUUGCUGCAUAACUAUACGCAAACACAAUAUUAACUAUUUCCCAAGCACAUAAUAUUUAGUAUAUGAAGAAGGAUUCAUUUGUAUUGUAGGAUAUUUUGUAUUGCAAUAAACACCAACUAUAGCCUGUUAGGAAUUGAUGUGUGGGCUGCGCUAUAACAUUGAUAUUUUAAUUUGAUCUCUCUGCAUUCUUCAGACAUUCGGCAAGUUUUGAAUAACAAAUGCAAGUUUUAUUUGCCAAUCGCACGUUUGUAUUGUCUGCUUCCGAGGGAAAUAUGUUGUUUUCCCGAGAGUCUCGAUGUUCUCGAGACGAAGUCGAGUAAUUUGUAUACUAAUAAUACACAGUACGCGGUUGGUCAGAGAUCUAUUGUUGUAAUACACUGAGCUAUAAUAAUAUCUAUCGUGGUGUCCAGAAAACCAAAAACCUGUCAUAGAAAAUUGUUGUACGUAAUAAAAUUGAAUACUGGAC